GAUGAACGCUGGCGGCGUGCCUAAUACAUUCAAGUCGAGCGAAUGGAUUAAGAGCUUGCUCUUAUGAAGUUAGCGGCGGACGGGUGAGUAACACGUGGGUAACCUGCCCAUAAGACUGGGAUAACUCCGGGAAACCGGGGCUAAUACCGGAUAACAUUUUGAACCGCAUGGUUCGAAAUUGAAAGGCGGCUUCGGCUGUCACUUAUGGAUGGACCCGCGUCGCAUUAGCUAGUUGGUGAGGUAACGGCUCACCAAGGCAACGAUGCGUAGCCGACCUGAGAGGGUGAUCGGCCACACUGGGACUGGAACACGGCCCAGACUCCUACGGAAGGCAGCAGUAGGGAAUCUUCCGCAAUGGACGAAAGUCUGACGGAGCAACGCCGCGUGAGUGAUGAAGGCUUUCGGGUCGUAAAACUCUGUUGUUAGGGAAGAACAAGUGCUAGUUGAAUAAGCUGGCACCUUGACGGUACCUAACCAGAAAGCCACGGCUAACUACGUGCCAGCCGCCGCAGUAA
rnacentral:rRNA from 1 species